AAAAAGAAAAGUGAGAAAUCAGUGGAUCAGAGUUUUAGUGGCAAUACUGGUAAGAGGAAGAACUUUGGGGGAACAGAGUAGAAAAAAAUCUGGUAGGGAAAGAUUUUCGGGACAGAGACCACCUUGAUCUGGUUAGCAAACGACUAGGAGUUCUCUCCCUCCCCAUCCAUGUAAGACAUAUGGUAAGAACCACGGAGGGGUAUGUUACAAAGCCA
rnacentral:misc_RNA from 1 species